rnacentral:lncRNA from 1 species
AAACUCUGGGGUUCCUCCUCUCGGAGAUGCCCCACCUUCGCCCCUGCUGGAGAUUCGCUGGGAAUCAGCUCUGUUCCGUAGCUAGAUUACAAGCCGCUGGAGAGCAAGUGAGCACCCUCUGUGUCAACCCUCCUCUGCGUCCUCCCGCGUGCCUGUGCGGUGCCUUGCACGCUGCAGCAUCGUUAUUUUUUAUUGCUGCAGGUGCUAAAUAAAUCCUCAGUGACUGAGCUCAGAGCCAAACACAUUUAUCCUUGUCAUCGCUCCAAUUCUGUGUGGCUGGGAUGGAGCCCAAAGCACUGGAGACGCAAUAAAUCUCUUCUUUGGGCCCCACCCAUUUCUCCACCAAGCAGAUGUGGUUGCCGGGAGCCAAGGUGGGGGUGCUGGGCUGAGGCCCUCUGAGUUGGGAGUCCUGGAGAAGGGCUGGUCGGCUUCACAAACUCUCUUCCCAGGAGGUGUGAGAGUUGGCUUUUGGCAGUGAUUGCCCCAGAAGGAAGGGAUGAGGCCCUGACCAGUUCCAAAGGCAUCAGGUAAGCGCCAUGCCUGGCCUCAGCCGUGCCUCGGCCCUUCCAUCCCCAUCACCAUGAGCCGGGACAACUCACGUCACAGCUGGGGCCUCAUCUUCCCCGCCCACGAAAGGGAUACUAGCUCCUAUAUUUUGGAUUCUCGUGAGGAAACAAAUGAGAUUAUGCAUGUAUAACCCAACACAGAGCAAGAGCUUAUAAGGAUCCAGUGGCCCCUCUUAAAAUGGUUUGAAAGUCCAAAGCCAGGCCUAAAUCAGUAAGUGGCCUCCAGGGGGCUCAGAGUUCAGGGCUGGCUUAGUGCCUAGGACCCUUCCCCAGCCAUCCAGGCGGCUGGGGAUGUAACAGCAUUUAAAGCCAGCUCUGGUUCUGACAUGGAUGGGGCCGUUCUUUCCCCUGUUUGCUGCAACCUUGAGUGGAUUUGUGAAGCAGAAGCAGCACCCGUCAGGGCACAGAAGAGUAAGGCUGUGUUCAAGGCCACCCAGCAUGAAAAAUGGCUGCACGGGGGCCAGAUGCUGCGGAGUUACUGCGCUGGGAGAGAAUUCAGCAUCCCUCCUAAGUCUCACCCCGAUUUUGCUUUGCAGACUCUGGAAUUUUCCAUUCCAUUUGUUUAAUGCCAUUUGCAGGGAAGGCUUCCCAGUGCAUCUCGGGAAGGAAUGUGCUGAUGGUACUAUAUACAAACUUGCUUCUCCCCCGUCUUAGCCACACUAAGCGCCACGCCUUUAAGUAAUUGUGACACAUUCUUCUCAGGAUAUUUGAGGCACCGGGCAGAAGCCCUUGUGGCCUCCUUGCAGCUGCGUUCCUCCCAGACGGGGACCAUGUCCCAGAGCUGGGGGCUGACUUGAAGGGGAAGUGUUUCUACCAAAUUUUGUGGGUGAUUUGGAGCCUCCUGUGCGUUCCCGUUUUUUGUUCUUCAAAAUGCGGGGGGAGAAGGCUAGCUCCACUGGGGGCCGAGCGAAUGUUUCUUGACAUGAGGAUGCUUGGUGAUGGCCGCUGGAGGAACACAGCUGGGGAUGGCGUGCAGCCAUUUAGACACACUGGAGUUUCGCUUUUGACCUUUGGCUUCCACACAAGAUUGAGGAUAGAACACUUUUUCAAAGUCAUUUUCUAUUUACCUCACUAGUUCAAGGGCCAUGGUGAAAGCGGGGAAUCCAAAGUCUACCUAGACUCCUAGUUCUUAUUUUGAUUUAUGCCAGUGGUUUGUAGCUUGUUUGUGUAACAAAUAUUUUGUAAACUCCCUUUAAUAUCCCAAAUGAAAUUCAUGGAUUAUGUAAGCCAUCUGUAUACAUUUUAAAAAUAUCUAUGUAACACUCUAACACGGAGUUUUUAGUUGUAUUUGGCUUUACCCACAGCAUAGGCAAGUUCCAGGUACAGGGCUCUGAUCCGAGCCACAGCUGCAACCUGUGCCAGAUCCUUACCCACUGCACCACAAUAGGAAUGCUGAACACAAGAGUUUUUAACAUGAGAACUACUGACAUGGAGCCGUGGAACUUUACUUUUUUUUAAUGGCCAUUGCAUCCAGCAGCUUGAUGUGGGAUCUCAGUUCUCAGACCAGGAAUUGAACCUGUGCCCCUGAAGUGCACAUGCCAAAUCCUAACCACUACACCAUCAGGGAACUCCCAGCCAUGGAUCUCUUCAAGUGCCAUCCUGGGCCCCUUGUAGGAGGCUUAGCAGUUCCCAGGCUAGGGGUUGAGUCGGAGCUGUAGCCACCAGCCUGCGCCAUAGCCACAGCAACAUGGGAUCCAAGCCGCAUCUGUGACCUACACCACAGCUCACAGCAACGCCAGAUCGUUAACCCACUGAGCGAGACCAAGGAUUGAACCCAAAACCUCAUGAUUCCUAGUCGGAUUCAUUAACCACUGAGUCACAAUGGGAACUCCUAGAACUCAUUUUUUGAAUUAUUAUGUUCUAAGUAUUGCUGAUUUACAUCUGUAGUGAGUUUAAUCUGGGAGAACAUUCAAAAGUCACAUGGGACAUGAAACAAUUCUUUGUCGUAUGAGAAUCUCCCAAAUAUUGCAGAAUAUUUGGCUUCCUCUCCAUCCCCAAAUACCCAUGUGCAUGUCAACCCCAAACUACAUGCACUAAUUUCAAAAAUGCCCCCUCUGGGGCACCACAGCUCAGAUGUGAAUCACUGGCACCCAAGGUCUAAUUGACGAGCACCCACUUUGGAUGGACACAGACCCAUACGUCCCUCCCACCAGCUGGUGUUUAGGGCACAAAACAGCUAUUUUUAGUAUCUCCAUUGAGAAUAUCUUUACUACCUCUAAUACACUUUUCCAUACAAUUUUUAUUCAUCAUAACUCACUCAAUUAAACCUUGAUGAAUGGUAUUACAAGGUAAUAUUUGUCAAGAGUUCCCUGUAUGUCAGACCCUGGAUAUGUUAGCUGUGUUACUUCGUUCAAACUUUACAGUAACCCCUUGAGGUAGAUACUAUCAUUAGCCACGUUUAUAGACAAGAGUUUCAGUAACUUGGUCUAAAGUGACCCAACUAAUGAGUGGCAGAAGCAGAAAAUUUGAGCCCUGGCUCUUAAACUAUUUGCUACACUAUUUCACCAGAACUGUCUUCUCUGUAUUCAAUUUAAGUAAAAAAAAGCAAAUAGCAAACCCACGCAUCUAUGGUCAAUUAAUCUUUGACAAAGGAGGCAAGAAUAUACAGUGGCGAAAGGAUAAUCUCUUCAGCAAGUGGUUUUGGGAAAGCUGGACAGCUGCAUGUAAAUCAAUGAAGUUAGAACACACCCUCACACCAUCCACAAAAAUAAAGAUCAAAAUGGCUUAAAGACUUAAGACAUGACAAAACUCCUAGAAGAAAACACAGGUAAAACCUUCUCUGACAUAAAUCAUGGCAGUGUUUUCUUGGUUCAGUCUCGCAAAGCAAUAGAAAUAAAGCAAAAAAAAAAAAAAAAAAAAAAACAAAUGAGACCAAUCAAAUUUAUAAGCUUUUGUAUAGCAAAGGAAACCAUACCAUAAACAAAACAAAAAGACCUCCUAAGGACUGGGAGAAAACAUUUGCAAAUGAUGCCACCGACAAGGGCUUAAUUUCCAAAAUAUACAAAUAGCUCAUACAAUUCAAUAACAAAAUCCCCUAAAUAACCCAGUCAAAAAUUGGACAGAAGACCUAAAUAGACAUUUCUUCAAAGAACAGACAGAUGGCCAAGUUCGUGAAAGCUGUUCAACAUCACUAAUUAUUAGAGAAAGGCAAAUCAAAGCUACACAGAGGUAUCAACUCACACCAGCCAUAAUGGCCAUCAUCAAAAAGCCUGCAAAUAACAAGUGCUGGAGAGGGUGUGGAGAAAAGGGAACCCUCCUACACUGUUGGUGGGAAUGUAAAUUGGGACAAGCACUAAAGAAAACAGUAUGGAGGUUCCUCAAAAAACUAAAUAUAGAACUACCAUAUGACCCAGCAAUCCCACUCCUGGGCAUAUAUCCAGAAAAAACAAUAAUUCAAAAAAGAUACACGCACCUGCAGUGUUCAGAGCAACACUAUUUACAAUAGCCAAGACAUGGAAACAAUCUAAAUGUCCAUUGACAGAUGAACAGAUAAAGAUGUGGUGUGUGCAUAUACAUACACAUAUAUAUGAAAGAAUGAAAAAUGCCAUUUGCAACAUGAAUGGACCUAGAGAUUGUCAUUUUAAGUGAAGUCAGACUGAGAAAGGCAAAUAUCAUAUGAUAUCACUUACAUGUGGAAUCUAAAAUAUGAUACAAGUGAACCUAUUUAUAAAAUAGAAAUAGAGGAAUUCCCACUGUGGCACAAUGGCAUGGGCAGUGUCUCUGCAGUGCCAGGAUUCAGGUUCAAUCCCCAGCCUGUCACAGUGGGUUAAAGGAUCCAGGGUUGCCACAGCUGUAGCAUAGGUCGCAACUGCGGCUCAGAUCCCAUCCCUGGCCCAGGAAUUCCAAAAAAAAAAGAAAAAAAAAAAAGAAAAA